UACGUAGGGGGCUAGCGUUGUCCGGAAUCAUUGGGCGUAAAGAGCGUGUAGGCGGCUCGGUAAGUCCGCUGUGAAAGUCCAGGGCUCAACCCUGGAAUGCCAGUGGAAACUGUCGAGCUAGAGUCCGGAAGAGGCGAGUGGAAUUCCUGGUGUAGCGGUGAAAUGCGCAGAUAUCAGGAGGAACACCGAUGGCGAAGGCAGCUCGCUGGGACGGUACUGACGCUGAGGCGCGAAAGCGUGGGGAGCAAACAGG
rnacentral:rRNA from 1 species